UGCCUACCUCCACCGCUCAACUCCGUCGCGCCAUUGCCGACUCCGCAACUUGCAACAAAAAUUCACCACACACACACCACACCAAACAACUCAAAUUUUCACCGUACCUCCCGUUUCCAUCUUCCUUCUUUCUGCCGAUCAAGUCGUCCGUCCACGGCCUCCUUCCCUCUCCCUUCUCGCUCCCCUCCGCUCCGACUCUCUCCUCUCUCCUUCUGGAACUUUCCUUCCCUUCUUCUUCUCCGCUCACUUCUUUCCCUCCUUUUCUCUCUUUUUUUCUUUUUUUUUUCUUUCUCUUCUCCUUUCCCCGACCUCCCUUUAUACCCUGCUAGCCUAUCCAAAACGACGUCGUUUUUUUUUCUUUCAAAACGACGUCGUUUUCUACCUAUUAGAAAUUUAUUUAUUUUUUUUUCUUUUCUUUUUGUUUCUAGUCCUUCCACUGAGCUAUUUACAAGUGCAUAAUGUGAUAAUCUGUUUCACCUUUGUUUAUUUUUUAAAUUUAUUUCAUUUCUUCUCUUUGAUAGUUUCAGUGACUAAUGAAACUGUUCCAAAUGGGAAAGAAGACAUCCCCACUUGUUUAUGCCAGGCAAGCAGGAUUCUACUAGGUUAUCCAGGAACAUCAUGGAAGCACUCGCCAUAUGUGCAGUGAUUAUAGGAUGUAUAUACCCAUUCAAGACAUCAACCACGAACUAGACUGGGACAGCACGUGCUCAUUGCACGUGCGGUGGAUGAUUCCCAAUUAUAUAUGCAGCAGGAUCAAUUUAGGAGCUGCAAACACUGCUUUCUUAUUGUUUUGCAAAGUUGGAGAGCUGAAAGGUUUAAAGGUACGCAAUAUUAUAAUACCUUGAUUUGUUUUGAUUAGCAAUUAUUAGAGCUUUUUUUAGCUUUCUUCAAUACGAAGUACUUGCAUUUUAGUGGUAUUUAGGUAUUCUAUAGAUUCCUUUCUGAUGCAAAACUAUAUGUAUAUAGCUAGCUAUAUAGGCUUGUAAAAGUUGAAGAGAUUACUGUCUGUUAAAAGUUGAAGAGAAUGCUUUACUUCACUAGCUUUUUUGGUAUUUGGGAAAUUAUUAUAUUAUAUAUAAUAAUUAUGAGGGAAAACCAAUAAAAUUUUCUAAUUAUUUUUAAAAAAUUAAUUAGAAUCAUGAGUUAUGGCCUCCCUCCCCUCCCUUGUGUAUAAUCUCUUUAAAUUUUUAAGCAUCGCACUCAUAUUUAUUAUAAAAAAUUUUAUAUUUUCUUCUACAUGUAUUAUUGUGGUAUACCAUUAGAAACUUUGAAAUACAUAUUUUUGUGCGACUACACGUUUUCAUGUAAACAAAUUUAGUCAUGUAUAUUAAGACUUGACAUGACAAGGACAUGAACCCAACUACUAGCUAGCCGGCUCAAAUAAUUGAUAUCAUUCGUGAAUAGCACACCAUACCAUCCAUACCCCUUCAAAACUAAACCAAGAGAUAAAAUAAUAUUGUCAAUCAGAAGUCAAUGGUAUAAUAUAUAAUUAU